AGUCUGCUCCUCGUGCUGGGAGGAGGAAGGGGCAGGAGGCCACGCUAAAGGACAGAAAGUGUCAGAAAUUGUACCAGGGUCAGCCAGGGAGAGGUGCCUGUGCUGGGGACAAGCAGUGAGCUGGAGGUGAAGAGAGAAGAAGGAGAGGAAGAGCCAGAGCUGUGUGGGGCUGUCUGUAGGACUGCAACCCAGCAAAGGCUGUUAAUUCAGAGCAGCGUAUUCCUGUGGGAAACUCCAGUAAUCCGUGUUCAGUGAUACAGCAAAAAAAAUCUGCUUCAGUAACCAGUUCGUGUGUAACACUGAUAAAAUAAAUGCUCGCCACUGAGUUGUUCCAAGAAGCUCAAUUUCCAAAGUAAUCUGCAGGAAACCCACACCGAUGGGUCUGGGUCGUGAUGCACGAGUUCAAAUCACUAUCAUUAGGCUGAUAAAUAUCUCGGAUAUUCUUGGGGUGAGCGAGGUCUCUUUUCCUUUAACUGUUUCUGGAGCAGCGCACGCUGAAGUGGGAGCGGUGUUGUUUUCCCGAUGAUCGGAGCUCCGUGGCAGCUCAGCUGUGCCAGUGGGGAUGCAGACAGCCCUUGGAUUCGAGCAGCACAAGCAGUGGGGAUCCCUGCUUUCCCACACACUGUCCUGGCAGAUUCCCUUUGCUGUCUCCAGGUCCUAAGAGCACAGUUUGGGUUUUGUGUCCCCUUUGCCCCUGGUGUAUUUGCUCCGAUUGCAAACCAUGAAAUUCUUUAAUCCCACCUGUUUUUACUGUGGAGCCUGCACCAAGACUUCCCAAUUUACUGACCUCACCCAGGGGUGCUGUUGGCCCAUCGUUGGGGCAGUAAUUUUGUGAGUCCCCCGUGGAAAUUCCUUGGACCAGGUGGUGGAAUAGGGUGCACGGUCGAGGAUAUUUCACUGCAGGACCUGUAGAGAGUGUUUAGCAAGGAGAAUGUUGAUUUUCCAUGAUUGAGUCCUGUAUGUACAGAGGCCAACCAACAACAAAAAAAUCCAGGUCUCUAUUCACUGCUUGGACAGUUGAGCUCUCUGAAGUAUCUCUCAGCAUAAAGACUAUGAGAUAAGGUGGAAAGUUUUAAACUGGUAAAGGGAAAAUUUAAACAUCAUGAUCAUCUGUCUUAUGUUAAAGAAGCAGAAGGAUGUUAAACACUGUGCUAUGCUGGCUCUUUUUUUUUUCC